UCCUAUAUGCCUAUCACUGUAGCGAGUCUGUUUCAUACAUCAUGUCAUCAUCACAACAAGCCUAUAAGUAGUUAUAUUAUUUCAAUACUUUUUGCAUAAGAAAAUUGAGGCAUAGAGAGGUCAUGGAUACAAGAACAUGUAGCCAGACAAACCCAGACUGGCUGGCUCCAAAGGUACUCCACACACCAUAAUAUUAUCUACAAGUGCUAUUGGAAUGAAACAGCAGUAUUUUUACGUAAAACCCCCUAAUCCACUUAAUUGUUAAGGUUGAACAGAACUCCAGUUUGGAGUGAUGAAUGUUUAUGGCCAUCAACAGCAGCACACAGAGGGGUAAUGCAAUCUAGGUCCUCCAGAAUGUUGCUUUGCAGAAAAGUUCCAUAUCUGUAUGAGCACAACACAAAGGGUUGCACAAACUGGAGCCACUCCUUCAAAGUACCGAGGCUAUUUCCUGAUUCAGAUCCCACAACUGACCUAUGCACAGAGAAACUUCAUGUAGAUGCGUGUUCAUCUGCCUGCUGAGAUAAGGAAAUAAUAGCCCAUCCACUGCCAUGCAUAAAGUCAAAGUCAGUGAGUGCUUUCUUCGCGUGGAGAUAGCUGCUGACUGGUGAGUCAAAGCCAGCAAGGCAGGCAGAAGGACGAGGACGAGGAUGAGGAUACGUCGUGACACAUCCACUGACCCAGGACCUGGUACACAGAGAUCGUGCCGAUGAAUUAGGCAGCCUUCGCAGGAAGAGCAGGAU